AAUCAACCUGUCUAAUUUGAGUGAGACCUUCCAUUAAGUGAACAAAUAAGCUCUCUCUUUCUGAUUCUCAUAUCUUGAAAGGUUUUGAAAAGUCCUUUUUUUGCUAACAUCACAAGGCUUUACAGUUUAGAAAGCCUAGAAUUCAAAGCUUCAUCUACAUUUUUAAUCUACAAAAGUAAAUCUUCUGCACAUCUUACAUUUCUGGAUGUGAUAUGCUCCAAACAACAUCUGAGGCUAUCAAAACACAAUGAAUAAUGUCUGAAAAAUAUAAAAGAAAAGGAAAAAAUGUUUAAAAGAUUUAGUUGCAGUGAAAGAGCAUCUCAUCUUCCUACAUGAUUCUUGGCCUCUGAAGAUUACCUACAGGCUUUUGGAUUUCAAUUUUAUGGUGCAGAAACUCCGCAGGGAGGAAGACACUUCUCCCAUUCCCCAUCAUGAGGUGUUUGUCCCAGCCUGCCCUUGCCAGGUGUCUGCAGCUGGGGGAAGGAGCCAGGGCUGUGGCCAGAAGCACCACGAGUGGUGUUGAACUGACCAGUGAGGAGAUGGUCACAUAUUCAGCAUGGAAGCUUUGUGUGUAUUUUGUACCGCUGUGGAUUAGAGUCUCUGCUGUAAAGGAGAGGGGCUCGAAUGUUAUCAGUGUUACCAGUUCAUGUGUAAGCGAUGCCUCGCAGCCAGCAGCCUGGAGCUGAGCAACUGUGCCAUCAUCCGGCUCGGAUCAGCAGCACAAAGCCGGGGAGACGCGGCAGGAGCUCUGCGGGGCCUGGAGAGCUGCGGGGAGAGAGGCACAGCAGCUCCCCGCUGCAGGCACCGUGCCACCGAGAUACUGCAAGGAUUUGGAGCUAUCACAGGAAGUUUCCCUGUGAGAAAUUUCCUACUGAGUGCCGGAUAUUUUAUUUUUUUUUUCUGAAUUAAAACUGGGGAAGAAAAAUAAAUCUGAAGGGAAAGGCUAUUAUUGCAGUUCAUGAGCUGACAUUUUAUCUGAAAGCAAGAGAGAUAAAGAAAAGCAUUAGAAAAAAGUCACCCAGGGAAGUUGGAGCUGGCCUUGGCAAACACUUUUAAAUAUUUGCAGGAGAAUUCUGCAAAUCACCAACUGCUUAGAUCUACAGUCCUCCCAGGGCAGGAAUUAAAACACAGCUUGGAUGAUCACUCACAUAUCAUUUUAUUUCUUGGGCCCAGCCAGCUACCUAGGGAAAGAGGUAAAACUGAACAAAAACUACAUAAAGCAUGAACUAAGCCCAAAGUGAUCCUGUAAAGCUGCAAAAAGUCUCUCUGCUGAAGAGAGAGGUGCUUUUUGUUCUUACACAGGAAUAAAUGCCACAGCAUUGGGAUGCUUUUGCAGCCACGUAUUUGGUGUAGAACCAUUGCUUUGGCCCAACAUGAAAUAAAUUCUCCCAAUUUCUCCCCUCUCAUUGACCUAAAAAGCCUCUCACACCAUCAUAUUUCACUGUUGGUCUCAUGGAUAUUGUUAGCCAAGACUUGUUGCUUGUUGUUUUUGUCCAAAAGCUGGAAACUCAUCAGCACAAGCUCUGCUUUUUGCUCUCUCUAGGUGGCUUCUUUCAAGGCAGCUAACGAAGGGAAGAAAGCCUAUCUGCAGGAUAUCAGAUCUUUAAAUAGGGGUUAGCACCUCUGUUUCAGGAUUUUUUAUCAGAGAAAGUCUGAGAUCUGCUCCUUUGGAAAAAUAAUUCCUUACUGACCCAGAACAAGCCAGUAAGUUCAACUAACAAAAUGAAAAGGAUGAAGCUUGCAGCCUGACUGGUAUAAACAAUUUCUCUUCCUCUACAAGGUUAAAUGCACAAAAUGCAUAGAAACUGGAAACUGGUCCCUCUUUUGCCCUCCUUCAGGGAUCUUCAGACCAAUUGGAACCCACCUGAGGACCCAAGAGUCCAGGGAUGUUUGGUGGCAGCCCCUUGCUGAGGCUGCCCGGGAACCAGGAGAGGGUGAUGAGUUUCUAAACAGACAAUUUACAUCAUGUAACUCAUCAUCAGAGUACACAAGAGUAAACUGGGAAGUUUUCAAUGGAAAUGAGCUUAUUUCCUAUGGGUAUUAAUCCUUCAUGAAGUAUGGAUGAUAAUUAGUGUAAUCUACAAAUAAAUUCUUAGGAAAUAUUGCAUCUCCAGGGUGAAAAGGUCUCAGUUGCGGCACUGAAUUCUAACAGUAUCAUAUUUGAUUUACCAGUGAUCAUUAAAGUUUACAUCAAAGGUCAGGAAUAACUGGUAUUUGUACUCUGAGAAAAAGUUAUAAACACUUUAACUUUUUGCCCUGUCACUGUCAGUUCACUUGGUAUUCGCUGUGAUGGCACUGCUGUUAAUGAAUGUAUUUGGUAAUAAUGUGGAUGUCAUGGAUAUUUAUGCUUUCAUCUCUUUCAGUGGCUCAGCAGGUAAGUUAGGAGCUUUGCCAUUUUACAUUUCAUAAAUUAAAGAGGGAAAAUAAAUGAUAUUUUAUCUCAAAGUACUUAAGAAAUAUCCAUCACAUUUAGCUAUCCCAAAUGGGGAUCUAUCUUAUUACAGAAAAAUUAGUGCUGCAAACAAAGUGAUAAGUGUCUGGAACUGCUGGAAGCCAAGGGGAAAGCUUUCCAUGGCUUUGAGAGGAAACAGGUCAGACUCUGUUCAAACUACGAAGAUUAGUUGAUACAUAAA